rnacentral:rRNA from 1 species
UUCGCAAUGCCCGAAAGGGUGACGAAGCGACGCCGCGUGUGGGAAGAAGGCCUUCGGGUUGUAAACCACUGUCGGGAGUUAAGAAAUGCAAGGAUAUUAAUAGUGUCUUUGUUUGACUAAGGCUCCGGAGGAAGCCACGGCUAACUCUGCGCCAGCAGCCGCGGUAAUACAGAGGCGGCAAGCGUUGUUCGGAAUUAUUGGGCGUAAAGAGCACGUAGGCGGCUAUGUAAGUCGGUUGUGAAAGCCUUCCGCUCAACGGGAGAACAGCAUCCGAUACUGCAUGGCUUGAGUGCGGGAGGGGAGAGUGGAACUUCUGGUGGAGCGGUGAAAUGCGUAGAUAUCAGAAGGAACGCCGGCGGCGAAAGCGGCUCUCUGGCCCAUAACUGACGCUGAGUGUGCGAAAGCUAGGGGAGCAAACGGGAUUAGAUACCCCGGUAGUCCUAGCCGUAAACGAUGGGCACUAAGUAGAGGGGUUUU